GAUGAACGCUAGCGAUAGGCUUAACACAUGCAAGUCGAGGGGCAGCAUGGUCUUAGCUUGCUAAGACUGAUGGCGACCGGCGCACGGGUGCGUAACGCGGAUGCAACUUGCCUCACAGAGGGGGAUAACCCGUCGAAAGACGGACUAAUACCGCGUACACUCCAUCUUGGGCAUCCAAGGUAGAGGAAAUGAAAUUCGCUGUGAGAUAGGCAUGCGUCCCAUUAGCUAGUUGGUGAGGUAACGGCUCACCAAGGCGACGAUGGGUAGGGGAACUGAGAGGUUGAACCCCCACACUGGUACUGAGACACGGACCAGACUCCUACGGGAGGCAGCAGUGAGGAAUAUUGGUCAAUGGGCGAGAGCCUGAACCAGCCAAGUCGCGUGAAGGAAGACUGUCUUAUGGAUUGUAAACUUCUUUUAUACGGGGAUAACAAGAGUCACGUGUGACUCCCUGCAUGUACCGUAUGAAUAAGCAUCGGCUAACUCCGUG
rnacentral:rRNA from 1 species